CAAGGUCAGCAUGCUGACCUUGUAGUCCCAACCAAUAAGAAGAGGACAAAUCACCAAAAUUGAUGACAUAAGCUUAUUUGCCACAUCACCCCACUCCAGCUUAUUACUUUCUAAUGUCUGUCUAACCUGUUGAAAGCAAAUUCAAAAUAGCAAAUUCAAAUUUAGGAUGUGAAUGGGCGGGUACUGAAAAUUUCGUAUUUGAAAUCCUUUUCAAAAUUUGUUUUACAUAUCGUGGGUCAUUUCCCCAUCGCCAAACAAAAUGCUUUUUCUACUAAAGAUGGGUCAUUGUCUCCAACUUCUCACUCGACAUUGCCCCGCUCACCGUUGCACGCCUCUUUCACAUUUCCUCCUUGUAAUCCCUCGCUUCCUGAUUUGGAUAUUCAAAUGAGCAAUCCAAACUUUUAAAUCUGAGAGGUAGUUGUUCCUCUAACAAAGGAUGAGAAUGCUUGCUCCAAGAUUCAAGCAAUCACAUAUCCUUUCAAGCAAUAAAUGGGACAAACUUUGAGCAAAGGGAGCCUCGGCUUGCCAAGGAUGAAGAUGAGGAUGAGCAAUAGGCCAAGGAUGAGGAUCAACAAGUUGAAUGUGAAGGAGCUGUCAUUAUUGGCUUGGAUGGCAAGAUGAGAUGGAUAAGUGAUGAAGUUCCAAGAUUGAAGUCUGACUGCUUUCCUUAAAAAAUAGGAUUUGUUAGUUAGAGGUAGAAAUUAUUAAUAACUUAUUUCCUAGACUUUUGGAAGUGUAGAGGAUAGGAUUAGGUUGUUUGCUAGUCAGUAGUUAUCAAGUUUAUGUUAAUAGUUGGUGCUUAUCAUAAGUUGUAUUGCACAUAUGUUGUGCAUUGAAUGCUAUUUAAAGGGAAACAAAUUAAUAAAGAUGGAAACAAAAUAUUAACACUCAAAUUCAUGAGUGAUUGAGGUCA